AAAAAAAAAAAUGAAUGAAAAAGAAAGAGAUAGAAGACCGCCUUCAACGGCGUCGUCGAGGAGCUCAAGAAUUUCACGACUCGCGUCCCCCAAGUGCUUCCCCUUUCAGGCGACGGAGGAAGCACCGCCGAUAUUGUCCGCGUCCUCAGAGAGACUCAUUAUCUCAAAUCUCCUCUUCAAAUUGGAUUUCGGGAGUCCGAUGCCGGCGAUGCAGGAAGAUCCGCCGGACGGCUGAGGCGAUAUCCAGAAAUCCGAAACCGUUACUGCGAUGGUCCUCAGAACCAAAUAGAAAAAUGCCAGCUACAGCUCGUCGAACACGAAGACAUCGAUGAUGAAGACGACCUCUUCGAAGCGAUCG
rnacentral:lncRNA from 1 species